UCUUGUCCCUGAUAGGAGAGUGUGACCAAGCAGCAGAGAGCAGCUGAAGAAAGAGAUACAACCAAUACAGAAACUGCAGUAACAUAAACACCCCACUUUUGACCCUCGUCUCAACUGAUUUUCCAAAGACCAAAGGCCACACAGGUGGCAUUUUCUUCCACACAAAGGUUGACUGACAAAUUACACCAAACGGUAAGAACCACACACACCUGGUCUAAUCCUUUUAAGUUUAUAACCACUGGUGAAUCCCAAAGAAACAGUACACAC